UGUGUAACAGUCACAUUAGAAUUUCUCGUCCAGGAGAGUGGAGACCGGUGAGACCCCGAUCGGUUUCAAACCCAAAUCGUCCUCCCCACUUUCCAGCGGUGGCGGUUGCCGCGCCGCCCUUCGAAUGCUCGGCUCGGAGUCGGACCCUCUACAGCUACGGGACGGCGAGAGCUCCGCGGCCAGGAGUAGGCGCCGCGGCAUGCGGCCAUGAAGGGGCAGGCCUUUGCAGCUCGUCGGCCACAGCAGCGCGCCGGGUUCCUCCGCAUCGAGCACACGGCAGCAGGGUUCAGAUGAAUAUCCUAAAUUUGGUCCUUAUGGUGAUUAUGGGUAACCGGAUGGCAUAUAUGGUCUGGACAUCUGGAAGAAAAUAGGAUGUUGUGCUCUGCUGUUUGCCGUCUCCUGGGUAAACGGAUGGCAUCUAUGGUCUAUCUUUUUGGGAUUAAGCUUUUCAUUGCUUGCACAACUGCAUGAUGAUCCACAAAACAUAGACACAGUUCUGCAAACUUAUGAUGAAAUGAAGCAAACUAGUUUGCCAGUUACCUGAACGGUAUGCGUUGUGUACUGUGAUAUAUACUGUAUUUUCGAUCGUUAUCACUUUGCAUCA